UACUCAGUUCUGAAUAAGUACUGAUGGAGCYUGAGGCUCUCUGGACUCCAGAUAAAGAAAGGUUAAUGCUAAAUACUGUGCUGGUAUGCUCAAUAGUAUUGUGUUCUGUGAAGUGGUUGAUAGGCUUUCAAAGCAAAGGUUAUCAUCUGCAUAUGGGUGCUAUCGGUGUCUUCUUGAAAAGUGUGUACUGUGCUUGUUUGCCUUAGGAUGGAUUGAGUAAGAAGCAGCAUAACAAAUGAUGUAACGGAGCUGGAUAAGAAGUUCCUUUUCCUGCAAGAGAAGAACAAGGAAUGGAACUGAGAGACUACCCAUAUUUAAUUUGCUGUCUGAUAAGUGAAAAAGUUUUUGGACUAUGUACUUAUUACUACAGGGCAUUAAUUCCACUGUUUACUGAGAGUCAGGGAGGAAUUUAGUAACUUUGUUCUAAAACAUGCAUUUUCUGGUUAGAGGCAUUUAGUAUAAAUGGAUUUGUAAAGAAAAAAGACUAAAGCAUUAUGAAAUAAACUAGUGACAAGUUUAAGAUAACACAUUCAUGAGGCAGGUUUUCUCACAUCUGCCUAUUGCAGAGGGCUGGUAUGUUUUGAGAUAUUUGAUGUUAGCUGUUGUUAAUGAUAAAAUGGCAAUUCUUGUCCAUUUGUAUAUUUUCCUUAAUGAACCAGAUGGAGGAACACAGGCCUUUGGAUGAAAAAUACUGUUGGUUCAAAUCCAAUCCAGAUGAACAGAGGCAAGAAUCCGCCGCAUUUUCAAGACUCCAGUUUGGCUGCUGGUCGUGUAAAGGUGAUGGGAAGGCAGCGGCUGCGCCUGGGUGUGCCGGGUAAGAGCGUGUCCCGCACGCCCUCAGCGACCUGCCCGUGCCCGCGCUGGCAGAGGCUUUUCCCCAAGGAGCUGCGGCUGGGGCUGCCGCCGCUUUGRGGAGAGCGGUCCCUGCGUCGAUAAAAUGGUUCGGACCCACGUUCUCAGGGCUGAGGGGGCUCGGGGCUGUUCACCCGGCGAGCGCGUGGGGGGAGGCAGCCGGAGGGGAAGGCCGCUUGCCUCUUCUGCUGCCGGGGCGCGGGCUUCGCCUCUGUCCCGGCUGCGGAGGAGAGCGGGGACGGCGGGGCG
rnacentral:lncRNA from 1 species